CUAGGCCCCAAGGGUGGGGGUGGGAAGGGA
rnacentral:piRNA from 1 species